GAAAAUUAGAGUCAGCAACAAAUGAAAAAUUGCAGUCUGGUGAUUUGCCUUCAAGAAAGGAGAAGCACGAGCUAUCUUCUUUAGUUAAAUCUAUUAAGAUGAAAUCACAACAAUUAUCAUUGUCCUCUCAAGGUAAGGCGGUAGUAAAGAAUGAAAAAAGUCAAGCAAUGUCAAAGAACAUCGAUGGAGAGGGAGGAAAGAAGGAGAACGAAAAAAGUCGAGCAAGGGCAAAGAAGAAAGAUGAAAAGCGAGUAAAAUAAGAGAGUGAAAAGUAAGGUUAUAUAAAUUUUGAUCAAAGACUACUCAUGGGAUUAGACAGACGAGGUUCCUGAAAAUGGAUCAUGGUUCAGUAUGGGUGAAUAGUGGCCUUAGUGAAUCUCAAUACGUAGCAACUUUAAUUGUUUUUACUUUAUUUUUUACUGUAUGGC
rnacentral:misc_RNA from 1 species